GUUGCCCCUAGAGGCGUUACAAGCUGGUCUGCGGUGUCCUGCUUGUGUCAUUAGGUGGCAAAGAGAAUUGUGGCUGUGUCUACGCUCUGUGCCCCGUACCCCGUGGGCAUUAAGAAUGGUUAUCGGCCAGACAGG